UGGGGAAUAUUGCACAAUGGGGAAAGACCCUGAUGCAGCGACGCCGCGUGAGCGAAGAAGUAUUUCGGUAUGUAAAGCUCUAUCAGCAGGGAAGAUAAUGACGGUACCUGACUAAGAAGCCCCGGCUAACUACGUGCCAGCAGCCGCGGUAAUACGUAGGGGGCAAGCGUUAUCCGGAUUUACUGGGCGUAAAGGGCGCGUAGGCGGUUCGCUAAGUCGGAUGUGAGAACUCUGGGCUCAACCCAGAGCCUGCAUCCGAAACUGGCGGGCUAGAGUUCUGGAGGGGGUAGCGGAGUUCCUGGUGUAGCGGUGAAAUGCGUAGAUAUCAGGAGGAACACCGGUGGCGAAGGCGGCUACCUGGACAGAAACUGACGCUGAGGCGCGAAAGCUAGGGGAGCAAAACAGGAUUAGAUACCC
rnacentral:rRNA from 1 species